GAGGCAGUGGAAGACAGGAGUGCCUGGCAUGCUCUGGUCCAUGGGGUCAUGAAGAGUCGGACACGACUAAACGACUAAACAACAACAACAAAAAAUUUUGACAAAUAAUUUGCUGGGGUAAAUCCUCUCCCAUUAUCUUUUAUUUGUUGUUUAGUCGUUUAGUCGUGUCUGACUCUUCAUGACCCCAUGGACCAGAGCACGCCAGGCACGCCAGACACGUGCUU